CCUACGGGAGGCUGCAGUGGGGAAUAUUGGACAAUGGGGGCAACCCUGAUCCAGCCAUGCCGCGUGUGUGAAGAAGGCCCUCGGGUUGUAAAGCACUUUCAGUGAGGAAGAACGCCUGGUGGUUAAUACCCAUCAGGAAAGACAUCACUCACAGAAGAAGCACCGGCUAACUCCGUGCCAGCAGCCGCGGUAAUACGGAGGGUGCGAGCGUUAAUCGGAAUUACUGGGCGUAAAGCGCGCGUAGGUGGCUUGACAAGCCGGUUGUGAAAGCCCCGGGCUCAACCUGGGAACGGCAUCCGGAACUGUCAAGCUAGAGUGCAGGAGAGGAAGGUAGAAUUCCCGGUGUAGCGGUGAAAUGCGUAGAGAUCGGGAGGAAUACCAGUGGCGAAGGCGGCCUUCUGGACUGACACUGACACUGAGGUGCGAAAGCGUGGGUAGCAAACAGGAUUAGAUACCCGUGUAGUC
rnacentral:rRNA from 1 species